UACGGAGGAUGCAAGCGUUAUCCGGAUUUAUUGGGUUUAAAGGGUGCGUAGGUGGGCUUAUAAGUCAGCGGUGAAAUCCCCCGGCUCAACCAGGGAAUUGCCGUUGAUACUGUUAGCCUUGAGUACAGUUGAAGUGGGCGGAAUGUAGCAUGUAGCGGUGAAAUGCAUAGAUAUGCUACAGAACACCAAUAGCGAAGGCAGCUCACUAAGUUGUAACUGACACUAAUGCACGAAAGCGUGGGGAUCAAACAGG
rnacentral:rRNA from 1 species